AUGUCGUUCGCUGGCGUAUCCUUGAUCCGCGACGGCAGACUACGGCCUUCCGGCUCGGCCAUCAACGACACCGGCGCCGCUAGCGGGUACCAUCUGCUUGUGGUUGAAGGCUACUCAUGCAUCAAGCAUAUUCUUAAAGGCAGUCCCAUCGAAUCUCGCUCUUUCAGGGUUGGAGGGUAUCUGUGGUCUCUCAAGUACUACCCUAACGGUUCGCCGUGGGCCUCCCCCGGCGAUGUAUCUGCUGCCCUUGUCCUUGCUCAGGAUGUUGCAAAGCCUGUGAAGGCGCAGUUCAGGUUCAGUUUCAUUGAUCAGUCCGAUAAGCAGGAGUCAAUACACACUCGUUCUGGAGGAGGUGCCUUUCGUGACAAAUCUCGUGAAUAUUCGAACACCUUAACGAGCAAGGAUGCCUUGGAGAACUCGAAACAUCUCAAGGAUGAUGGUUUCACCCUCCGGUGUGACGUGGUUGUUGUCGUGGAGGACGUCGUCAAUGCCAGGGGCACAGGCGCCGCUCCACCGUUCGUUACGGUUCCGCCGCCCGACAUGCAGCGGCACUUCACCGAUCUCCUGGCCGCCCAGGAAGGCACCGACGUGAAGUUCAAGGUUGGCGGCCAGACAAUCGCCGCACAUCGGUGCGUCCUUGCAGCCAGAUCUAGAGUAUUCAAGGCUGAGCUCUUCGGCCCUAUGAAGGAGAGCACGGCGACCGCCAGGGCCAUACACAUAGAGGACACGGAACCUCGAGUUUUCAAGGCAAUGCUUGCGUUCAUUUAUAGUGACUCAGAGCCGGAGCUGGAGAAGGAAGAUGGUGAAGAUGCGAUGUGGCAGUGGCCGCAGCUGCUCAUCGCGGUGGAUAGGUACAAUCUGCAGCGGCUAAAGCUCAUGUGUGAAUCUAAGAUAUGCGGGUUCAUUGGUGUCAACACCACGACGACCAUCCUGGAACUGGCUGAGAACCACCACUGUGACGGCCUGAGGAAGGCGUGCUAUAAUUUUCUCGGCGCGCCGGGGAACCUGAGGGCUGUCGCGGCCACUGAUGGGUUCGACGAUCUGAUUACGAGCCACCCCUCCGUCAUGAAGGAGCUGAUCGCCAUGCUUGCGCCCUAG
rnacentral:rRNA from 1 species